rnacentral:misc_RNA from 1 species
GAAAUGCGAUAAGUAAUGUGAAUUGCAGAAUUCAGUGAAUCAUCGAAUCUUUGAACGCACAUUGCGCCCGCCAGUAUUCUGGCGGGCAUGCCUGUUCGAGCGUCAUUACAACCCUCAGGCCCCCGGGCCUGGCGUUGGGGAUCGGCGGAAGCCCCCUGCGGGCACAACGCCGUCCCCCAAAUACAGUGGCGGUCCCGCCGCAGCUUCCAUUGCGUAGUAGCUAACACCUCGCAACUGGAGAGCGGCGCGGCCACGCCGUAAAACACCCAACUUCUGAAUGUUGACCUCGGAUCAGGUAGGAAUACCCGCUGAACUUACGC